rnacentral:rRNA from 1 species
GUGCCAGCAGCCGCGGUAAUACGAAGGGACCUAGCGUAGUUCGGAAUUACUGGGCUUAAAGAGUUCGUAGGUGGUUAGAAAAAUUGGUGGGGGAAAUCCCAAGGCUUAACCUUGGAACUGCCGCCAAAACUUUUUGACUAGAGUAUGAUAGAGGAAAGUGGAAUUUCUAGUGUAGAGGUGAAAUUCGUAGAUAUUAGAAAGAACACCAAUUGCGAAGGCAACUUUCUGGAUCAUUACUGACACUGAGGAGCGAAAGCAUGGGUAGCGAAGAGGAUUAGAUACCCUCGUAGUCCAUGCCGUAAACGAUGUGUGCUAGACGUUGGAAAUUUAGUUUUCAGUGUCGCAGCGAAAGCGUUAAGCACACCGCCUGGGGAGUACGACCGCAAGGUUAAAACUCAAAUGAAUUGACGGGGACCCGCACAAGUAGUGGAGCAUGUGGUUUAAUUCGAAGAUACGCGCAGAACCUUACCAACACUUGACAUGUUCGUCGCGACUCUAUGAGAUUAGAGUCUUCGGUUCGGCCGGACGAAACACAGGUGCUGCAUGGCUGUCGUCAGCUCGUGUCGUGAGAUGUUGGGUUAAGUCCCGCAACGAGCGCAACCCUUACUUUUAGUUGCUACCAUUUAGUUGGGCACUCUAAANGAACUGCCGGUGAUAAGCUGGAGGAAGGUGGGGAUGACGUCAAGUCCUCAUGGCCCUUAUGUGUUGGGCUACACACGUGCUACAAUGGUACUUACAGUGAGAAGCAAAGAGGCGACUCUAAGCCAAUCCCUAAAAGGUACCUCAGUUCGGAUUGUACUCUGCAACUCGAGUACAUGAAGCUGGAAUUACCAGUAAUCGCGGAUCAGCGCGCCGCGGUGAAUAAGUUCCCGGGUCUUGUACACACCGCCCGUC